rnacentral:misc_RNA from 1 species
CUCUAGGAAAGUCUCUGAACCCAUUUUCCUGUCCUUGUUGAUGAUGAUGCUGGCUAAACUUGGAAGAAAUCAAGAAACUUUUGCUGCUGCUAAAUUUUGCUGCCUACUGCUACAAAGGAAAAAGUUACCUAAGAUGGAAUAGGUGGCAGAGAUUUAGGAUGACACGGAACACGUGUAUUGUAUAAGCUAUAGUGUAGUUCUUCAAUUUGACUUUUACUUAAAGGAGUGCAGGAUAUGGAUCAGAUACACAAGUCCACAACGGAUAGUUGAUAUUUUAGAAUUACAUUUUUUAUCUUUUCAGGAAGAAAAUUUUCUUUACAUUGGGUGAAAUGAGUGCACAAAUAAGUCUUAGGGUAUUGAGAAUUUGGUUGGUCUAUUGGCCUAACCAACUAAACCCUUCUUUUCUCAAAGAUUGGCUCUAGUAGUAUAUUGUCACUAUUCUAAAUUCCAUACAAGAAGAAUAUGAAAAAUUUUCAAAAUAGAAGUCCAAGAAACUGCUGGCAAUAUAGAUAUGCAUCUGGUUAGCAUCCAAGAAUACUGUUGAGCUAUUAAACAUUAUGUUCAACUGAGGCAAGUUCUAAAAGGAGGGUUGCUCAAAUUUCUUACUUCAAUAGAUGUCUGGUCAUUGUCAUGACAGAAAAUGACUAGAAGAAAAUGAAAAGCAAUCAAGUUUGACAGGUAAAAACAGGAAUGGCACUUCAGUGAAAUCAAAUAAAAAUCCAAAUUGUAGCAGUGUCUAACAGAGUUGAAUGGAGAAAGAAUCCAUACAGCUGAUCCAACAAGUUUGGGAUUAAGACUUAUUUGUUGUUGCUGAUUGAUUAAAGGAAAACCAAUUGGAAUUGGAACUACGCAAACCCACGACUCUACCAUGGUCCCUAAUUAAUUCAUUGAUUUGGUUGUCUCCAAGGGAAUCCAAAUGGUAAAAGCUUCACAGCUAGGGUAAGUGGUCAAAUCCUGAUAAGGAUGGGGUCAUGGAAAGGGAAGGACAGAGCUCCAGCUGGCAGUUCAUUAGAUUUAAAGAAAUAAAAAGGGAAACCUUUACUGAUGUGGUUAAUCAGCUGUCAAAUUGUGGCCCAAUGAACACAAAAUCAACUGCUAAAAAAAUAUGAAACCAUUUAUGAUUGCAAGCAUUAGCUAUUAUAAGGUGACAGAUUCAUAAAGGAAAAGUUGAGAUGAAGCAGCUAUGUGAUUUUCUUUUCUAGAUUUCCAACAACAUAUCUUUUCCAACCAAAAAGAUAAAAUAUGUCCAAUAGCUGGCUCAAGCAAGUAGUGAACUGAUUUUGGUCAGAAUAAACCAAUCGAUCCAACCCUAGGAUUAGGCAUGUCUUCUCCGAUCAAGUUCUGAAGUACAUUGAAAGCCGCAGCUCUUGAAAUGAAUAGGAUGAAGAGCAAAACCUCUUGAUUAUCAGGACUGAUAAACGUCAGGAAGCUGAAGACCUACACUCGCAGCCGAUUUUCCUAGUAUUCUUUUCAUUUCAUCUGAUCUAUCCACAGCAAUAUUGUAAGAGAAUAACAAUUCCUUGUGAUGGUGCACACUACUAAGCAGAAAAGUAUAAUCACGUGCAAGCUUGAUUUUCUGCUGAAUGGAUGAUUGGUCAGACAGAUUGCUGUUCUUCCGGAAUUCUAGCAUUGCGAAUUCACCAAAAUGCUUCUUGUAAUCUUCCUUGCCAAUGUGUUUCUUAAUAGCUUUGAGAAGCUGUCGAUAAGCCUUCAAAGCAUGUAAAGCUUCAGAACUCAUUUUCCAACACCACAGAUAACUUGUCAAAACCAAUUUCCUUGUUCAAUCUUCUUUAAUCCUAUGUUUGUUGCUAGUUGCUAUAUCUAGAGCUACACGGAAGCCGACCUGGUCAUAGGAGGACGAGAGAGCUUUUCCUUUAUUGAUUCGCGGGUGAUUCGGCGAGUCUACUCAGCACACUCGCCUUGCGCGGUCUCGUACUCUUGUUUUUGCGAGAACAGGCCAGCCCUAAUCUGAUACGCGUAGCCCAUGUAUAACGUGCCGAAGAAGACGGCAUCGUUUAAGUCUCUUCGGUUCUUCUACCCAUUGAUUUGUAUGAAAUUU